rnacentral:rRNA from 1 species
AUUGAACGCUGGCGGCAGGCCUAACACAUGCAAGUCGAGCGAGCGGCGGACGGGUGUGUAAUGUAUGGGGAGCUGCCCGCUAGAGGGGGAUAACUACUGUAAACGGUAGCUAAUACCGCAUACUCUCUGAUGAACCCCUAUGGGAUUAUCUAGUAGGUGGGGUAAAGGCUCACCUAGGCGACGAUCCCUAGCUGGUCUGAGAGGAGGACCAGCCAAACUGGAACUGAGACACGGUCCAGAAUCCUACGGGAGGCAGCAGUGGGGAAUAUUGCACAAUGGGCGCAAGCCUGAUGCAGCCAUGCCGCGUGUAGGAAGAAGGCCUUCGGGUUGUAAAGUACUUUCAGCGGGGAGGCGUUACCCGCAGAAGAAGCACCGGCUAACUCCGUGCCAGCCGCCGCGGUAAUAC